UGGACCAGUGAUGAAUAGCAUGGGGUUUCUGAAACAAGGACUCUGAUUAAACCCACCUGGCACUCAGGUCCAU
ensembl:snoRNA small nucleolar RNA, C/D box 113-6